rfam:Pteropus alecto contig91516, whole genome shotgun sequence.
CUUCAUAGCCGUACUACCCUGAACGUGCCUGAUCUCAUCUGAUCUCCUAAGCUAAGCAGUGUCGGGCCUGGUUAGUACUUGAAUGGGAGACCACUUAAGAAUACCAGGUGCUGUAGGCA